rnacentral:misc_RNA from 1 species
CAACCCUCAGGCCCGGCCUGGCGUUGGGGCACCGCGCAGCGCGCGCGGGCCCUGAAAUACAGUGGCGAGCCCGCCUGGACUCCGAGCGUAGUAGUGUAAAAGCCUCGCUCAGGGCGUCCCGGCGCGCGUCUGCCGUAAAACCCCCAACUCUCACAA